rnacentral:rRNA from 1 species
CCUACGGGUGGCAGCAGUGAGGAAUAUUGGUCAAUGGCCGGAAGGCUGAACCAGCCAUGCCGCGUGAAGGUCAGUGCCCUAUGGGCGUUAAACUUCUUUUGUGCGGGAGCAAUAAUGGUCACGUGUGGCCAGACGAGAGUACCGUACGAAUAAGCAUCGGCUAACUCCGUGCCAGCAGCCGCGGUAAUACGGGGGAUGCAAGCGUUAUCCGGAUUUAUUGGGUUUAAAGGGUGCGUAGGCUGUGAGGUAAGUCAGCGGUGAAAUGCCCCCGCUCAACGGGGUGAAGUGCCAUUGAUACUGCCUGGCUGGAAUGCGGAUGCCGUGGGAGGAAUGUGUGGUGUAGCGGUGAAAUGCAUAGAUAUCACACAGAACCCCGAUUGCGAAGGCAUCUCACGAAUCCGCGAUUGACGCUGAUGCACGAAAGCGUGGGUAUCAAACAGGAUUAGAUACCCUAGUAGUC